rnacentral:miRNA from 1 species
AGCCGGUUAUGUACGGCUG